GUAACUUUCUUAAUAAUGCUUGAAAAUUUAUAAAAGGGGUAGUUUUGGAUAGCUAACAGAUUACUCUUUCAAACAAAUGCAAUGUUAGUAUUAUGCAACAAUUAUGUAACCAAUUAUAAUGUUAACUGUGUCUAAAAUAUUUUUCACCAAAUUUCCACUUUCAAAUGAAAUUAGCUUCUGCAUAGGCAUCCCUAGAGGGUUGAUUUUAUUAUAUGUUGUUCCUAUGGUCAUUAUCUACAAAAGAGUGUCUCAGAUUUCAGAUAGAAUGUAUAGAACAAAUUUUACACCUAAUUGAACAUUAUCUUCUUUUAGGUGGUUAGGAUGUUUACACUAAUUAGAGAUUUAUGAGAGAAUGGAAUACAAUAGGGACAAUCUGAGACACCCUUUUGAAGCCCAUGAUGUGUUGAUUAAGAUUCCGUUAAAAUUUUCUGUAUAGUUAAAAGAUGAUAGAGCUAAAUUCAUUCAAGUGAACUUACCCAGAUUUUGCCACUAAUUACAUAAUAAUUGAU
rnacentral:lncRNA from 1 species